AAGUCGUAACAAGGUCUCCGUAGGUGAACCUGCGGAGGGAUCAUUAUCGAAUGGCCUCGUGGCCUUCAACCUUGAAAACCUGUGGAAGCAAGAUGUGCUUCGGCGCUUCGGCGCCGUUUUUAUGCGUUAAACAAGUGUUUGUGUCUGAAUCAAAUACAAGAAAUAAAACUUUCAACAAAGGAUCUCUUGGCCCUCGCAUCGAUGAAGAACGCAGCGAAGCGCGAAAUGUAGUGUGAAUCGCAGAACAUCGUGAAUCAUCGAAUCUUUGAACGCACAUUGCGCCUCCUUUAACCAGGGGGCAUGCCUGUCUGAGCGUCAUUUAAACCUAUGGGCCCGACUGGGUUCCGUGUUGGGCCUCGCCCCUCCUGGGAGUGGGCGUCGCCUUGAAGGCAUCGGCUUCAUGGAGCGGACGGGAUCCCUUGUGGACUGACCGUUUCAUGGUCGGAGUUUAACUCUGACUUGACCUCAGAUCAGGUAAGGACACCGCCUGAACUUAA
rnacentral:rRNA from 1 species